rnacentral:misc_RNA from 1 species
AAUUAACCAGUGAAACAAUGUCUGAAGAUCCCAGAAGACCAGAUGAGGUAGUACGUCCACGUUCCAGCUCAGACCAGAAAUACGGCCGCCAACGUUGUUG